rnacentral:miRNA from 1 species
UCUUGGAAGCUAAGCAGGGUUGGGCCUGGUUAGUACUUGGGUGGGAGACCACUUGGGAAUACCGGGUGCUGUAGGCUUUU